UGANGUGAAAGCCCCCGGCUCAACCGGGGAGGGUCAUUGGAAACUGGGGAACUUGAGUGCAGAAGAGGAGAGUGGAAUUCCAUGUGUAGCGGUGAAAUGCGUAGAUAUAUGGAGGAACACCNGUGGCGAAGGCGACUCUCUGGUCUGUAACUGACGCUGAGGCUCGAAAGCGUGGGUAGCAAACAGGAUUAGAUACCCUGGUAGUNCACGCCGCAAACGAUGAGUGCUAAGUGUUGGAGGGUUUCCGCCCUUCAGUGCUGCAGUUAACGCAUUAAGCACUCCGCCUGGGGAGUACGACCGCAAGGUUGAAGCUCAAAGGAAUUGACGGGGACCCGCACAAGCGGUGGAGCAUGUGGUUUAAUUCGAAGCAACGCGAAGAACCUUACCAAGUCUUGACAUCCUUUGACCACUCUAGAGAUAGAGCUUUCCCUUCGGGGACAAAGUGACAGGUGGUGCAUGGUUGUCGUCAGCUCGUGUCGUGAGAUGUUGGGUUAAGUCCCGCAACGAGCGCAACCCUUAUUACUAGUUGCCAGCAUUGAGUUGGGCACUCUAGUGAGACUGCCGGUGACAAACCGGAGGAAGGUGGGGAUGACGUCAAAUCAUCAUGCCCCUUAUGACUUGGGCUACACACGUGCUACAAUGGAUGGUACAACGAGCAGCGAACUCGCGAGGGUAAGCGAAUCUCUUAAAGCCAUUCUCAGUUCGGAUUGUAGGCUGCAACUCGCCUACAUGAAGCCGGAAUCGCUAGUAAUCGCGGAUCAGCACGCCGCGGUGAAUACGUUCCCGGGUCUUGUACACACCGCCCGUCACACCACGAGAGUUUGUAACACCCAAAGUCGGUGAGGUAACCAUUNGGAGCCAGCC
rnacentral:rRNA from 1 species